rnacentral:rRNA from 1 species
UACGUAGGGGGCUAGCGUUGUCCGGAAUCAUUGGGCGUAAAGAGCGCGUAGGCGGCCCGGUAAGUCUGCUGUGAAAGUCAAAGGCUUAACCUUUGAAAGUCAGUGGAUACUGUCGGGCUAGAGUCCGGAAGAGGCGAGUGGAACUCCUGGUGUAGCGGUGGAAUGCGCAGAUAUCAGGAAGAACACCAACGGCGAAGGCAGCUCGCUGGGACGGAACUGACGCUGAGGCGCGAAAGCGUGGGGAGCGAACAGG